GUCCCCAUCGUCUAGCCAGGCCCAGGACACCGCCCUUUCAAGGCGACGACGCGGGUUCGAAUCCCGCUGGGGACG
rnacentral:tRNA from 1 species